ACUUUUAAAGGAUAAUAG
rnacentral:tRNA from 1 species